rnacentral:misc_RNA from 1 species
AAAGACUGAAAACUAAUCCUAAUUUAUGAAGAGACUUAAUGGACUAGAAUCCUUAAUAAAGAAGGAAAAGAAAAGUAAAUAAAAUUCAUAACUGAAUUGAAAACUAAGUAAAAUCCAAAACUGAAUAGGACUUCAGAUGGUCCUGCAUCAGCUAGGUUGGAAUUGCUGAUAUAGAUCAGCUAGUUGAAAGUCACGACACUGUUUCCAAUGCUCAAUAUUAUUCAUUCUAUUGCCCAAAUUCUUGUAACAUAUAAAAUAGAUUUUGUCAGAAGCUCUCUUCUUUCUUAUUUGGCUGAGGGAUCCCUUUGUCUUCCCCAUUAGUAAAUGCUUAGUGAUUAGUGAAAUCAUUAUUGAAACCUGGGUGAUUGAUGUAAUCAUUGAAAAUCAUUGCAAUUGCUCUGAUCAAAUUCUGGAAGAUUUUAAUCAUUGGGUUGCUAUGUUUUAUGGUAACUAGUUAAACUUUCUUCUCUGAGCCCAAACUGCAAAUAGAAUAAGAAAAGGGUUUUUUUUUUUUUACUGUUCUUAGCCUCCUUGUUUUGUUUACAAUUGGAAAUGAGGAGAAAAUUGAGUCAAUGCCUUUUGUGCUUUCCUUUAGGGCCCACAGUUGCUACCUUUCCUUUGCAAUAAGUUGGAUAUUAUGGAUUAUGUUCCCAAACCCAUGAUGUGCGUUUUUUCUGACCCAGAUUAUUUUGUUCUAUUAAUUUUUCCACAUGAUGUAUAUUUUUUGUCAUGUCUUCCAUAUAUUCAGGCUUGAUGUUUCUAAGAAGGAAUUAGAGACAGAGUGGAAGAAAAAAAAAUUGAACUUUCUUCAUGGAAUUGGAAAAAUGCAAAUAUAUAUAUAUGAGAGAAUUGUUUCCUCUUUUUCUUUUGGAUGAAGGUGGUGCUCUAGAGUUGGCAAAUGAAACCAACAUUAAUGUGAAAGUUGUACCUAGAAAUUUGUAUUUUUUUUAUUGUAGUCUAGUGUUAUUAAAGGCGAUAAAAGGUGCCAGGCGAGGUGAGCCCAUGGCUCCUCGCCUGGCUGAGGCAAGGCAACUUGAAGGAGGCGCACGCCCAAGAUUGCUGAGGCGAGGGGCGCUGGGCAACCAAGGCGUCGCCUGAUUGAAGAAAGUCCAUUUUCCCUUUUUCUAUUUUUUUUAAACAGCAUAAAAAUACAAAAAAAAAGAACCCUAAACUAGCGCCACCAACAGACUUGCAGAGCGGCACCAGACCAGAUAUUGGCUCAAAAUGCUCGUUUUGAACAAAUAUGGAGGAGCCGAAGGGGAAACAAAGAGACUUCACAUGAUAAGGAACUCCAUGACAUGUGCCAUUUUUAUGACGUUGUUCGUGUUGAUGUUGAGGAAAGAUCCAAUGAGAUGCAAGAGCAGGGAGUUUUGUCUUUGGAGGAUCAGAGGAUUCUUAGUACCUACCUACCUCUACUUAGAGAGUUUAUUCCAAGUGCUGCAGCACAGAUUGAAACUGAUGUACGAGAUUACAUCUCCAAGCAAGCUGAUGAUUAUGUAUAUGACUAUUAUACCAUAAGGGAUGACAUGGAUAUUGGUGAUGAAGAUUCUUUAAGCCCUUUUCCGCUGGUACAGGUGGAGGAUGAAGAUUUCUAUGAUGGGUUAGAUGAUGAGUCAGAAUAUGAGAGUGAUGAUUCAAAUGCUGAGGCUCAUCCACGGAAUGAUUAUCCUGAUGAAAUAUCCGAAGAGGAAGAUGAAGUUGAUGGGGAGAGUGAAGCAUCAGCUGAUGAAAUAGAAGAAGACAAUGAUGAUGCUAGCAGUAGAUCUUCAGAAUUCGAGGAAUUGAUGCAAGGCUUGUCUGAAGAUGCAGUCCAAUAUGAAGAUGGAAUUUAUGGUGACGAUGACACUUUUGAUUAUGAGGAUGAUGAUAACUUUGAUGAUGAUGAUGAUGAUGAUGCAGUUGCUGCUGCUGAUGAUGAUGAUUAUAUUGGAGCCCUCAAUUCAGUUGAACGGAAUUCAAAUUUUUCAGUGGUUGGAGAAGAUGGGAUAAAUCUUGAAAAUUUGGAUAGAAGGAAGAGAGGAAGAGGUAAAGCUUCUUCUGCAAAUGCUGUUCCUUUAAAUGUAGUAAAUUUGCAAAUGGUAGACAGUCCAAUUCAAAUGACUAUAGGCCGGUUCUUGUAUGAUAUAGGAGGAAAUUUAGAUGCACUAGACUCAAUUUAUUACCCACGGUUGAUUGAUAUGAUUUCUUCUCAAGCAUCAGGGGUAGUAGCACCAUCAAAUCAUGAUCUCCGUGGUUGGAUAUUGAAGAAUUUAGUUGAAGAAAUAAAGAAUGAAAUUGAUCAAUAUGGGACAAUAUGGGCUAAGACUGGUUGUUCCAUCUUGGUUGAAGAAUGGAACUCAGAAAGUGGUAGAACCAUGCUAAAUUUUUUGGUGGAUUGCUCUCAGGCUACUGUGUUCUUGAAAUCUGUUGAUGUGUCACACAUCAUAUAUUCUACAGAUGGCCUGUAUCCAUUGCUUAAACAAGUAGUGGAAGAAGUUGGAGCCAGUCAUGUUUUGCAGGUGAUUACUAAUGGUGAUGAGCAUUAUAAUGUUGCUGGCAAAAGGUUGAUGGAUACUUUUCCCUCUUUGUAUUGGGCUCCUUGUGCUGCUCGUUGCAUUGAUCUGAUACUAGGGGAUUUUGGAAAACUAGAGUGGAUAAAUGCAGUAAUUGAACAGGCUAAAUCAGUCACAAGAUUUAUCUACAAUCAUAGCACAGUUUUGAAGCUGAUGAGAAAGUUUACUUUUGGAAAAGACAUUUUGCAACAGGGAAUAACUCGUUCUGCUACUAACUUCACCAUGCUGCAAAGGAUGGCAGAUUUUAAGCUCAAUUUGCAAACUAUGAUUACCUCACAGGAGUGGAUGGAUUGCCCAUAUGCGAAGCAACUAGGAGGAUUGGCUACAUUAGAUAUUAUAAGUAAUCGGUCAUUUUGGUCUUCAUGCAUCUUGAUCAUCCGUUUAACAAGCCCACUCUUACGAGUUUUAGGAAUAGUUAGUAGUAAAAAGAAAGCUGCAAUGGGAUAUAUUUUUGCAGGAAUGUAUCAAGCAAAGGAAACAAUUAAGAGAGAACUUAUUAAGAGAGAGGAUUACAUGGUCUAUUGGAAUAUCAUGGAUCAAAGGUGGGAUCAACAGCAACAUCCCCCUCUUCAUGCUGCUGGUUUCUUCCUUAAUCCCAAGUUCUUUUAUAGUAUUGAAGGAGAUGUCCACAAUGAGAUUCUGUCUCAGAUGUUUGAUUGCAUAGAAAAACUGGUUCCUGAUGUUAGUGUUCAAGAUAAAAUCACCAAAGAGAUAAACUCUUACAAGAAUGCUGCUGGAGAUUUUGGAAGGAAGAUGGCAGUUAGAGCUAGAGACACUCUGCUUCCU